GGAGAGGUGGCCGAGUGGUCGAAGGCACUUCACUGCUAACGAAGCAUACCCUAAACCGGUAUCCAGGGUUCGAAUCCCUGUCUCUCCUCCA
rnacentral:tRNA from 1 species